GACGAACGCUGGCGGCGUGCCUAAUACAUGCAAGUCGAGCGAGACUCUUCGGAGUCUAGCGGCGGACGGGUGAGUAACACGUGGGCAACCUGCCUGUAAGACUGGGAUAACACCGGGAAACCGGUGCUAAUACCGGAUAAUCCUUUUCCUCUCCUGAGGAAAAACUGAAAGUCGGUUUCGGCUGACUCUUACAGAUGGGCCAGCGGCGCAUUAGCUAGUUGGUGGGGUAACGGCUCACCAAGGCGACGAUGCGUAGCCGACCUGAGAGGGUGAUCGGCCACACUGGGACUGAGACACGGCCCAGACUCCUACGGGAGGCAGCAGUAGGGAAUCUUCCACAAUGGACGAAAGUCUGAUGGAGCAACGCCGCGUGAGCGAUGAAGGCCUUCGGGUCGUAAAGCUCUGUUGUUAGGGAAGAACAAGUACCGGAGUAACUGCCGGUACCUUGACGGUACCUAACCAGAAAGCCACGGCUAACUACGUGCCAGCCGCCGCCGUAA
rnacentral:rRNA from 1 species